GAUGAACGCUGGCGGCGUGCCUAAUACAUGCAAGUCGAGCGAACGGACGAGAAGCUUGCUUUUCUGAUGUUAGCGGCGGACGGGUGAGUAACACGUGGAUAACCUACCUAUAAGACUGGGAUAACUUCGGGAAACCGGAGCUAAUACCGGAUAAUAUUUUGAACCGCAUGGUUCAAAAGUGAAAGACGGUCUUGCUGUCACUUAUAGAUGGAUCCGCGCUGCAUUAGCUAGUUGGUAAGGUAACGGCUUACCAAGGCAACGGUGCAUAGCCGACCUGAGAGGGUGAUCGGCCACACUGGAACUGAGACACGGUCCAGACUCCUACGGGAGGCAGCAGUAGGGAAUCUUCCGCAAUGGGCGAAAGCCUGACGGAGCAACGCCGCGUGAGUGAUGAAGGUCUUCGGAUCGUAAAACUCUGUUAUUAGGGAAGAACAUAUGUGUAAGUAACUGUGCACAUCUUGACGGUACCUAAUCAGAAAGCCACGGCUAACUACGUGCCAGCAGCCGCGGUAAUACGUAGGUGGCAAGCGUUAUCCGGAAUUAUUGGGCGUAAAGCGCGCGUAGGCGGUUUUUUAAGUCUGAUGUGAAAGCCCACGGCUCAACCGUGGAGGGUCAUUGGAAACUGGAAAACUUGAGUGCAGAAGAGGAAAGUGGAAUUCCAUGUGUAGCGGUGAAAUGCGCAGAGAUAUGGAGGAACACCAGUGGCGAAGGCGACUUUCUGGUCUGUAACUGACGCUGAUGUGCGAAAGCGUGGGGAUCAAACAGGAUUAGAUACCCUGGUAGUCCACGCCGUAAACGAUGAGUGCUAAGUGUUAGGGGGUUUCCGCCCCUUAGUGCUGCAGCUAACGCAUUAAGCACUCCGCCUGGGGAGUACGACCGCAAGGUUGAAACUCAAAGGAAUUGACGGGGACCCGCACAAGCGGUGGAGCAUGUGGUUUAAUUCGAAGCAACGCGAAGAACCUUACCAAAUCUUGACAUCCUUUGACAACUCUAGAGAUAGAGCUUUCCCCUUCGGGGGACAAAGUGACAGGUGGUGCAUGGUUGUCGUCAGCUCGUGUCGUGAGAUGUUGGGUUAAGUCCCGCAACGAGCGCAACCCUUAAGCUUAGUUGCCAUCAUUAAGUUGGGCACUCUAAGUUGACUGCCGGUGACAAACCGGAGGAAGGUGGGGAUGACGUCAAAUCAUCAUGCCCCUUAUGAUUUGGGCUACACACGUGCUACAAUGGACAAUACAAAGGGCAGCGAAACCGCGAGGUCAAGCAAAUCCCAUAAAGUUGUUCUCAGUUCGGAUUGUAGUCUGCAACUCGACUACAUGAAGCUGGAAUCGCUAGUAAUCGUAGAUCAGCAUGCUACGGUGAAUACGUUCCCGGGUCU
rnacentral:rRNA from 1 species